AUUGAAGCAAACUAUCAGGCGAAGUGCUGGAUUCUCCAUCUUUCAAUGUCUUCCAGAGCAGACAUUCUCUGAAGAUGUGUCUUUUUUUGCCAAAUACAAGUUACUCAAAGGACGGUUUUAAGAGCAGUAGCUGCUGAGAGAAGGAAGAGGAUCAGUAAGGCACACAGUGAAUACUGAAGACUGAGAGAAGUAAAGCUCCCAAGCAGCUUUAUUAUAUAUGGGAUGUGGCUCACUGGCACUGUAUGCUCUAUUGCUUCUUGAAUUAGG